UACGUAGGGGGCGAGCGUUGUCCGGAAUCAUUGGGCGUAAAGCGCGUGUAGGCGGCCCGGUAAGUCCGCUGUGAAAGUCCAGGCUCAACCCUGGGAUGCCGGUGGAUACUGUCGGGCUCGAGUCCGGAAGAGGCGAGUGGAAUCCUGGUGUAGCGGUGAAAAUGCGCAGGAUAUCAGGAGGAACACCAUGGCGAAGGCAGCUCGCUGGGGACGUGACUGACGCUGAGACGCGAAAGCGUGGGGGAGCAAACAGG
rnacentral:rRNA from 1 species